CCUCAAGAAGCUUUAAACAGUAUGGGUCUUUUAAACCCAGCAUAGUAGACUUUUCCUACUCUUAAGGA
rnacentral:tRNA from 1 species